UUGCACCAGUUCUGGAUGGACCGUCUGUACGAAAGACGCAAGUCCUGGAGUUGACGUACUCGGAUUACUUCCAGAGGUUGGAGCGAGAUCCGACGAACCUGAUCAAGAACAUCUACCUGGAAUACCGAAGAAGUCACCGCAACUACCGCCCACAAACGCAGCUUCGGCGGGAUGAACUUUGACGGCGAGUUGGAACAUCUGUGUCAUUCUCGAAGGAGGACGAAGUGAUCGGGAACUAUCCGUUCAGGCACUUUACUUCCCAGCCGGAAAACGUCGACUUCCCUUCCCGAAUCAACAACCAAUGGCCAACUCCUCCAAGCCUGUCCUGAUGAUGGCCGGCAACGAGACCACUCUGUUCUCUACAACGCUGUCGCGCUCCUAAAUGAUGGCCGCGAUCUUGCUGCCCAACGAAACGUCCAUCCGUAACCUGCUCAGCAUGCGGCCUUCGGACGUGACCGGCGGCGUACCGUAAGAAUCGGUUCAGCUUGGACGCGGAAAUUGGCCAACCAGAAGCAGAUGCGUUAAAUACCAAAAAAAAUCGAAAACAUACUGUUUUUAUAUUAAAAUAGUGAAAUAAAAUCCAUCACUUUUUUCGAAAAUCAUCACUGUAAUGUUAAAUUUAAUUUGUUCUUGCCAUAAAAAGUUUUUUCUUAUAUUAAAAGUAAAAAACUUUUACCGAUACAACGAUUUUGUUCCAGAAAUGCAUGGUAGUAUCAACAACUUUCCAACUUUUAAAUUAAAAAGUUAGAACUUUCUACGAAUAUUCACCAACGCGAACUUUUAAUCCAACCAACGAUCUUUUUAAAUUUACAGUAUUUUUUCUUUGUGUGUAGAAGCGACUCCAAGCAACGCGACUGAAAGAAGCGAUUUCGAUGCAAACAUAAUAUCUUUUGAUGUUAAAUGCAGUAUUUGUUGUGCUCUAGUUCCAGAAAUGGUUCUCCGAAAUAAUUUGGUGGCCACUGGCCACUCCAGAACCGAUACUGAAUGUCCCCCGGGGAACCACCGAAGAGGCCAAUAUCUGAUCAGAGCAAAACCUGUCAUUAUUGGAAUCUUUUUUUUUUUCAUUUUGGAAGGACAUCUCAGAAAUGGACAACCUAAAUAAUUGAAUAGCCACUGGCCACUUUAGAACCGGUUCUGAAUGUCCCCCAGGGAACCACUGAUAUGACCAGUAUCUGAUCAGAGCAAAACCUGUCAAAAUAAGUAUUGAAAUUCUUUAUUUUAGAAGAACAUCUCAGAAAAAAAUAUUUUGGAAGAACAUUCUGAAAAUUUAGAUUGACCUGGCCACUCCGGAACCGGUUCUGAAACACAUAAAUUUAGAAAUUCAAAAAUAAAAAUACAGAGCAAAUGUUCGCUAACUGAAACGAAUUCGAAUUAAAAAGCACUCAAUCGUUAUAACCAGUUGUCAAACUGGCUUCGACAUUUUAACCCCAUUGUUCGACGAUAUCCGAGCACGUUGUUUUGCUUUUUAAUUAUCCGCACAAUCCGUACUAUCCGGAUAUUUGUAACAAAACAUAAUAGUUUUGGAGAUUUUGCCUAAUAUUUUUUACUUUAAUCAUUAUCUGGGGUGGAUAUGGUAGAGCAC